GUGGCCGUGCAAGGUGGCUGCCGAGGUGCCCAGGUCUGUGUUCCACCACCAUCGCAUGGCUGGAGAGCUCCCGGCUGCAGGAUAUAUGGGUGGCAAAUAAUCAGCUGACAAGAUGUUCAACAUCGUUCACCACUGGGAAAAUGCAAAUUAAAGCCACAUCAGACCCUACUUCUCACCAGUUAGAAGGGCUCCCUCAGAAAGACUCCCGGCAGAGGAGCCCAAAGCCCCAUGUGCUACCAUGGAAAGUCAUCAGGGAAUUUAAAGGGAUUCCACUGUGGCAGCCAAAGACGACCUGAAGUCCCCCUUGCACAGGUAGGCUGUGAGCUUGCUGGGUUGUUUCCUCUGAAUGAAAACAGCUACUUGCUCUUAAGCCCAAUUCCUUUGGGAAAAUGAUUGGUGUGUGAUGGGAUAUUGUUAAAUAAUGUGACAACACAAUAGAAAAGAACACUGUUUCACUUACUAGUAACGUGUAAGCUGUUCAGGUACCGUUUGCACUGUAAUGUGCGUGGGGAAAUGUAGUAAUUCUUCCCUCCCUCUGGACAACUCACACCGCAGCUAGUAGGCCGACAGCAGCGCUCAUUUACUCUGUGCGGCGAUCGGAGAACAUGUGGGAAGCAGAGUCCGAGCCUCCUUUCUCUGACCUCUGAUAACAUCUGGUUUCCCAUCGCUCCUGAGCCACACCCGCUCCUUCCGAGUCUGUGCAGAGUCAUGUAGAAGGCAGCCCUGCCCUGGGACACGCACACACGCAUGCAAAGUGCACCCCUGCAAAGUCACAGGAGCAGAAAGUGGCCCAUUGUGAAGGUCAUGAGCCAGGGCGAGCACACGUUUUAAAAUGUGCACUUGGUCUCCACUUUGCGCACUUUGGUACCACUGGGAGAAGUCAUCUCGGAACACGCAGAAACAAGAAAUGGGCUCACGUUCGGGGUGAAGUCCAAGGAGCUCCCACUGCCUGAUGAACACUCGUACCCGCCCUCCCGCACCGUGUUUGGGGAGAACCCAUGGGUGAUGGUAAGAGGGACAGCGGUGCAGCAGCCGCAAACACGCGGGAUCUGGUGUCACGUCUAAGCCCUC